CGCGUAGGCCGUUGAGUUAGUUAAUUGUGAAAUCCCAAAGCUUAACUUUGGAACUGCAAUUAAAACUGCUCGACUAGAGUUUGAUAGAGGAAAGCGGAAUACAUAGUGUAGAGGUGAAAUUCGUAGAUAUUAUGUAGAACACCAGUUGCGAAGGCGGCUUUCUGGAUCAACACUGACGCUGAGGCGCGAAAGUAUAGGUAGCAAAGA
rnacentral:rRNA from 1 species